GUCUGUUGUAUGAGACAACGGCAAACAUCCAUGCUCCCAGGGAAGUGACUGGGUAUCAGAUUCUAUGCUUUGUGGGGGGACAUUCACCACCAAGAAGAUCAGCUGGGGAGGAUCAAAGGAACAUCGUGGAGAUCCACAGACUAACUCCAGAACAACCCACCAGUUUGUCCGCUGGCACAAAUAUGUGUUCAUCAGAAGAGACCAUCUAUCCAUCACUGAUUUUCAGAACAGCAUCUAUUAUCAGUGCAGGUAGCCGGAACACAACUGAAAAAUCCCCACCAGGGCUUAUUAACUACAGAUCGUAGAAAACCAUCAGAGAUUCAGGAAGCAACCAUUUCUUCUUCCAGAGCUCUUAACCUGUAAUUAUGGUUCUCACAGCAGUUUGGAGGGAAGUGUUCCUUCAGAAUCACCUCAGAAUAAAAUUAUGUUGAAUCUUCACUAA